AGUGAACGCUGGCGGUAGGCCUAACACAUGCAAGUCGAACGGAAGCACAUUAAUAGCUUGCUCUUACGGGUUGCGAGUGGGGGACGGGUGAGGAAUACAUCGGAAUCUCCUUUUUCGUGGGGGAUAACGGAGGUAAACUGACGCUAAAACGGCAUAGGACCGACGGGUGAAAUCAGGAGAUCUUCGGACGUUGUGUGAUCGAUUAAGCCGAGAUCGGAUUAGCUAGUUGGCGGGGUAAAGGCCCCCCAAGGCGACUAUCCGUAGCUGAUCUGAGAGUAUAAACCGCCAAACUGUAACUGAGCAACGGUCCAGGCUCCUACGGGAGGCUCCAGUGGGGAAUAUUCGACAGUGGCUGCAAGCCUGAUACAACGAUACCGCGUGGUUGAAGAAGGCCUUCGGGUCGUACAGCCCUUUUGUUGGGAAAGAAAAGCAGCAGGUUAAUACCCCGCUGUUCUGACGGUACCCAAAGAAUAAGCACCGGCUAACUUCGUG
rnacentral:rRNA from 1 species